UACAGAGGUGGCAAGCGUUGUUCGGAAUUACUGGGCGUAAAGGGCGCGUAGGCGGCCAUCUAAGUCAGACGUGAAAUCCCCCGGCUUAACCUGGGAACUGCGUCUGAUACUGGAAGGCUUGAGUAUGGGAGAGGGAUGUAGAAUUCCAGGUGUAGCGGUGAAAUGCGUAGAUAUCUGGAGGAAUACCGGUGGCGAAGGCGGCAUCCUGGACCAUUACUGACGCUGAGGCGCGAAAGCCAGGGGAGCGGAACGGG
rnacentral:rRNA from 1 species